rnacentral:rRNA from 1 species
CAGGCUUAACACACGCAAGUUCGAGGGGAAAACGACAUUCGAAGCCUGCUUCGAUGGUCGUUCGACCGGCGCACGGGCGAGUAACGCGUAUUCAACCUGCUCUCUGACCAAUGGAUAGACCCGUCGAAAAGUUCGGAACUAAUACCUUAUGCAGUCGUCGGAAGUCAUCUGAUGACGACGAAAGAUUUUCAUCGGUGAGGGAUCGGGGAUGCGUCUGAUUAGCUUGUUGGCGGGGUAACGGCCCACCAAGGCGACGAUCAGUAGGGGUUCUGAGAGGAAGGUCCCCCACAUUGGAACUGAGACACGGUCCAAACUCCUACGGGAGGCAGCAGUGAGGAAUAUUGGUCAAUGGACGAGAGUCUGAACCAGCCAAGUAGCGUGCAGGAUGACGGCCCUAUGGGUUUGUAAACUGCUUUUUAUGCGGGGAUAAAGUUGAGGGACGUGUCCUUCAUUGCAGGUACCGCAUGAAUAAGGACCGGCUAAUUCCGUGCCAGCAGCCGCGGUAAUACGGAAGGUCCGGGCGUUAUCCGGAUUUAUUGGGUUUAAAGGGAGCGUAGGCCGUGGAUUAAGCGUGUUGUGAAAUGCAGGUGCUCAACGUCUGCACUGCAGCGCGAACUGGUCCACUUGAGUGUGCACAACGCAGGCGGAAUUCGUCGUGUAGCGGUGAAAUGCUUAGAUAUGACGAAGAACUCCGAUUGCGAAGGCAGCUUGCGGGAGCACAACUGACGCUGAAGCUCGAAAGUGCGGGUAUCGAACAGGAUUAGAUACCCUGGUAGUCCGCACGGUAAACGAUGGAUGCCCGUUGUCAGGCUGUUUCAGCCUGGUGACCAAGCGAAAGCAUUAAGCAUCCCACCUGGGGAGUACGCCGGCAACGGUGAAACUCAAAGGAAUUGACGGGGGCCCGCACAAGCGGAGGAACAUGUGGUUUAAUUCGAUGAUACGCGAGGAACCUUACCCGGGCUUGAAUUGCAGACGAAGGCUUCAGAGAUGAAGCGGCCCUUCGGGGCGUCUGUGAAGGUGCUGCAUGGUUGUCGUCAGCUCGUGCCGUGAGGUGUCGGCUUAAGUGCCAUAACGAGCGCAACCCCUUUCUUCAGUUGCCAUCAGGUGAUGCUGGGCACUCUGGAGACACUGCCACCGCAAGGUGUGAGGAAGGUGGGGAUGACGUCAAAUCAGCACGGCCCUUACGUCCGGGGCUACACACGUGUUACAAUGGCCGGUACAGAGAGUUGAUUUUGUGCAAGCACGAUCUAAUCCUUAAAUCCGGUCCCAGUUCGGACUGGGGUCUGCAACCCGACCCCACGAAGCUGGAUUCGCUAGUAAUCGCGCAUCAGCCAUGGCGCGGUGAAUACGUUCCCGGGCCUUGCACACACCGCCCGUC